AAGUCGUAACAAGGUUUCCGUAGGUGAACCUGCGGAAGGAUCAUUAACAAAUUUAUGGGGGAGGGAGUGCAUGUGCACUUUUGAUCCCAAACAUAUACCCGGCCACCGUUUCUUUCGGGGGAUUGGUGGCUAGGAAAUAUUUACGCUUGUAAUGUUUUGACUGUAUAUAUUGAUGGUAAAUUUAAACAACUUUUAACAAUGGAUCUCUUGGCUCUU
rnacentral:misc_RNA from 1 species